rnacentral:rRNA from 1 species
GUGAACGCUGGCGGUAGGCCUAACACCUGCAAGUCGAACGGCAGCACCGUAAGAGCUUGCUCUUACGGGUGGCGAGUGGCGGACGGGUGAGGAAUACAUCGGAAUCUACUUUUUCGUGGGGGAUAACGUAGGGAAACUUACGCUAAUACCGCAUACGACCUACGGGUGAAAGCAGGGGAUCUUCGGGCCUUGCGCGAUUGAAUGAGCCGAUGUCGGAUUAGCUAGUUGGCGGGGUAAAGGCCCACCAAGGCGGCGAUCCGUAGCUGGUCUGAGAGGAUGAUCAGCCACACUGGAACUGAGACACGGUCCAGACUCCUACGGGAGGCAGCAGUGGGGAAUAUUGGACAAUGGGCGCAAGCCUGAUCCAGCCAUACCGCGUGGGUGAAGAAGGCCUUCGGGUUGUAAAGCCCUUUUGUUGGGAAAGAAAAGCAGCAGGUUAAUACCCCGCUGUUCUGACGGUACCCAAAGAAUAAGCACCGGCUAACUUCGUG